rnacentral:rRNA from 1 species
UAGCCGUAAACGAUACUCGCUAGGUGUCGGCCACGGUGCGACCGUUGUCGGUGCCGUAGGGAAGCCGUGAAGCGAGCCACCUGGGAAGUACGGCCGCAAGGCUGAGACUUAAAGGAAUUGGCGGGGGAGCACCACAACGGGUGGAGCUUGCGGUUUAAUUGGAUUCAACGCCGGAAAUCUUACCGGGACCGACAGCAACAUGAAGGCCAGGCUGAAGAACUUUGUCCGGGAUUAAGCUGAGAGGAGGUGCAU